rnacentral:lncRNA from 1 species
CCACUAUUGCGACUUUAAAUUUAUAUCCCUCUACUAUGAGAAUCAAGAUCACCGCAAAAGGCCCAACACAAUCAAUCAAAACACCUUAACAUGGCUAUUUAGAUCACCAUAUACCAUCUAACUAGUCUUUCUCCACUUAACAAUUCAAUGGUACCACUAGCCACGCACAACAAGUAAUAGCCUUAGAAAAAAAUACCGUAACCUCAUGUCACCUUAGGCAUA